ACUGUUCUGAUAAAUGACACAAUCUUUAUAUAUGGCAGAAAACAACAAGAUGGUUCAUCUGGAAGCAAAGCCAUUAUAGUUCUGUUAUAUUCUUAUUAAAUCUAUAAAAACUAGAAACUCAAAUUUUAUUUCUAACUUCCGUGCAGAAUUAUUGUAAUAAAUGAAGCCCUUAAAGCAAUUGGCGAUCGUGUUCAUAACAUCUGGAUAUUCGCGGAUAGCAAACAUGCAAUUGAAAGUCCUGCAAACUAUAUAAACCUGCUCCACAAAGACUCAAGAGAAGUAAUCACAUUGCUCUCCAAGCUUUCCUCAGCAAUAAACAUAACUCUACAAUAUCCCAGGCAAUGAAAGAGCUGAUGAAAUGACAAAGAAGGCAUUUGGUGUGAAUGCAGACAAGGAAGGAAAGCUUACAUUUGCCGAAAUCCAUUUUCUUAUUAAAAAUCAGAUUUUAACAACAUGGAUUUCUCCAACAUCCAUGGAUAUAAGCAUCAAACCAGGCGAAAUAAAACAGUUAAACCAUCAAGACAGGAACAAACUACAAAUUUUCAAACUUAGGACAUCCGAAAACUUAAAACAUAUUAAAGGAGUUAAAACCUUUCCAAGUGCAAGAUCUGCACCCUAAAUAAAACUGAUCCGGAAGACAUUAUACAUUGCAUAAACGUUAACAGAAGUGAAUUAGCUACAAAUCCCCAAUAUAUCAUUAAAAAUCUGCAGAAUAUGAUAUCAUGGGCUUGGUCCAAUUAGACCAGGGUAUAAGCAACCAAGAGGAAAAGCCAAGGUUUUUGCGAUCGGUGGGAAAAAAACUGUUGUGCCAAGGUGAAAGGAACAAUAAAUAAAUUCGAAUAAAAGAAAAGGAAAAGAAAUCAAUCUCAGCUUAAGAAAGAAAGAAAUAAUGACACCCCCU
rnacentral:lncRNA from 1 species